rnacentral:sRNA from 1 species
UCUUUCUUUCAUCCUCUCAGGAGACCCCUACCAGCUUCUCCAGGGAGACGGGACUGCCCUGAUGCCUCCUGUGCCCCCACAUCCACCCCAGGGUGUUUUUGGCUCAUGGCACGAUUACUACACAUGGCGGGGCCUCAGCUUGGACUCCCCCACAGCCGUGCUUCUCACCUACCCGCUGACCGUGUACUACGUCAUCACCCACCUGGUGCCCCAGUCCUUCCCUGAGCUCAACAUCCAAAACAAACAAUCACUGAAGAUCCACGUGGUGGAGGCCGGGAAGGAGUUUGACCUUGUCAUGGUGUUUUGGGAGCUUUUGGUCCUGCUCCCCCACGUGGCCCUGGAGCUGCAGUUUGUAGGUGAUGGGCUGCCCCCCGAAAGCGACGAGCAGCAUUUUACCCUGCAGAGGGUGAGGGCUGAGGGGGCCCUGCUUUUCAGCCCUGACCCCUCCAGUGACCUCCUGGUUGGGUCCUGCCCUUCUGCCCCCCACUCCCCAUCUUGCCUGGUGCAUCCUCCAGUUCCCUGACUUCCAGUGGCUUUUCCACCCCACUCCUGGCCCCUCAGGACAGCCUGGAGGUGUCUGUCCGGCCUGGUUCCGGCAUAUCAGCACGGCCCAGCUCUGGCACUAAGGAGAAAGGGGGCCGCAGGGACCUGCAGAUCAAGGUGUCAGCAAGGCCCUACCACCUGUUCCAGGGGCCCAAGCCUGACCUGGUUAUUGGUAAAAGCCUGGGUCUCAGGGUUAGGCAUGUGGGGAAGGUGGGAGAGAAGCCCACCGUGGGAGCCAGC